rnacentral:rRNA from 1 species
UGGGGAAUUUUGCACAAUGGGGGAAACCCUGAUGCAGCGACGCCGCGUGAUUUAGAAGGCCUUCGGGUUGUAAAAAUCUUUUGUAUGGGAAGAAAAUGACAGUACCAUACGAAUAAGGACCGGCUAAUUACGUGCCAGCAGCCGCGGUAAUACGUAAGGUCCGAGCGUUGUCCGGAAUCAUUGGGCGUAAAGGGUACGUAGGCGGAUAAGCAAGUUAGAAGUGAAAUCCUAUAGCUCAACUAUAGUAAGCGUUUAAAACUGCUCAUCUUGAGGUAUGGAAGGGAAAGUGGAAUUCCUAGUGUAGCGGUGAAAUGCGUAGAUAUAUGGAGGAACACCGGUGGCGAAAGCGGCUCUCUGGUCUGUAACUGACGCUGAGGCUCGAAAGCGUGGGGAGCGAACAGG